ensembl:lncRNA
GAAGCAGAUGUGCUUUUGGGGGUAUUUCUGUUGUACACACGAUUUAGCUUUUAUAUGGGGGGUGUGAUGGAAUAAAAAAGCAAAGGUUAUUAAUAGGAUGUUAAAAGUGCGGAGAUCCGCAAGUGUCACAGCAUCAGCUGUGAUCCUCCCACCCCCCUCCUACUUCCUUCCCUCCUCCCCCAUCUCACCACCAACAACCCGCGCUGCUUGAGUCACGCUCGCGCAGACGGUGGCAGCUCGGAACAAGUUCAACUUCUUAAAGUUUCUCGAUCGGACGCCCACGGUCGUGUUGUGAGGCAUCGAUCGAGCUCCAGCAUGAAGCUCCUGUGGCGGAUCAUCUCCUUAGCGCUCUUCUUGCAGCUUGUCAGUGCUACAGACCUUCAGUGCACCGUCACCCGGGACGCAGACAGAACCCAUUACAGUGUCCCACAGUUCACUGGAGAAGCCUGUGACUUCCGCUGGUGGAACCAGACGAACUUGGCCAAUCCCAGCGGGCAUAGUGAGCAGGUUGCGAGGAGCAGCAACCGGAGCCUUGACACCUACCAGUGCUUCCCCCAGAUGUUCUACAGCAGAACCUGCAGCGAUGGGGUGAACCAAGUCGCUACCUGCACCUUCAACUGCAGCGUAAACUCCGAGGAUCCACAGAAAGAAGAGUCUCACACAAUGGAUGGUGGUCUCAUUGCUGCCGUGCUGGUUUCGGUUCUGGUUCUGGUCCUGGUUCUGGUUCUGGUUCUUGUGUGCUACACGGUCAAAGCUGACAGGAGAAAGAGCGGCCGCGGCUCCCCCCACACUGACAGCACCGAGGAAGUUCUUGCCAUUGUGUGAAGAUGCCAAUGCUACCAGAAAUAUUCCACUUUACUUUUAAACACUUUAUCUCCAUUUACUCUGCACAUGAAUUUUAGCUUAAUAUAUAUUUCUAUAUGACUAACUUUGCCCUAUUUUUCCAUUUAAGAACUUAUUGGGGUCCAAAUAUGGCCCUGUGGUGUUCCCUUUGUGGUCAGGGUUUUUUUCCCAAAGGAACUUUCCUCCCUCCCAUGGGUAUAAAAGUAAAACUGAGCUGGGGAAGCCCAUGGAGACCAAAAAGCUACUACCUGCCCUCCUGACCCGACUUGUUGGGGGAGGUGUUCCCCAAGGGGGGGGGGGGGGGGGUGUCAGGGUUUCCUCACUCACAUUGGUAUUAAAGUAAAACUGAGCUGUGGAAGCUAUUUGACUGGUAAUGGAGCACCAGGACAACAACUGAAAUAAAUACAUAUCUAGUUAAAAUAAUAUUAUCCUGCCAAGUGAUAGGAUCUAAACAUUAAAAUAUAAUAAUACAUACAUUUAUAUAUUCAUACUUUAUGUAUAAUGUUAGAUCUUUCAUAAUUUUUAUAUUUAUAUAUAUAUAAUAUAUAAUUAUGAUAUUAAUAUGAAUAGGAGGGUUUAUUACAUUACAUUACAUGUCAUUUAGCGGACGCUUUUAUCCAAAGCGACGUACAAUAAGUGCAUUCAACCAUAGGGUACAAACUCAGGAAAACAAGAAAGUGCAAUUUCCUCAAAUAAGCUAAGGUUUAUCAAGUCACUGUCUCUUUUAUUCUUAAACGAUGUCUCCACCUGCCAACACUGUGUGUCUUAUGAAAUCUUUUUAUUCUAAUCUUGUAGCAUUCACUUAAAACACUCCUUCAUUGUUUUUUUUUUUCUUUAAAUAAAACGUUCUGUCUGAGAA